GACGAACGCUGGCGGCGUGCUUAACACAUGCAAGUCGAACGGAGUGGCGAACGGGUGAGUAACACGUGGGUGACCUGCCCUGCACUUCGGGAUAAGCCUGGGAAACUGGGUCUAAUACCGGAUAGUGUGGGAUGGGCCCGCGGCCUAUCAGCUUGUUGGUGGGGUAAUGGCCUACCAAGGCGGCGACGGGUAGCCGGCCUGAGAGGGUGGACGGCCACAUUGGGACUGAGGAACGGCCCAGAAGGCUACGGGAGGCAGCAGUGGGGAAUAGUGCACAAUGGGCGGAAGCCUGAGGCAGAGACGCGGCGGGGGGGAUGAAGGACUUCGGGUUGAAAAAGCCUUUCACCAUCGACGCGGUAGAUGGAGAAGAAGCACCGGCUAACUACGUGCCAGCAGCCGCGGUAAUUC
rnacentral:rRNA from 1 species